ensembl:lncRNA
CCCUGCAGUACUGUCCACUUGGACUGCGCAUCCUGAGGAGAAAUGAGUGUUGCCUGGGGGUGGAGUCCACGUCUCCCUAUUCUGUCAAAUGGUAAGGUACCGUGCACAAGGGAGCUUUGGAAUGAGCCUUUGUUUUGGUUGGCUCUCCUCCUCUUGCUCUCCUGUCAUCCUUUGAUCAUGUCAAGUUCUUGCUCUAUUCCUCACUUCAUGUCUAACCUCUUGAGUUUGAUGGGAGAGAAGAUGCAUUCAGGACCGCACCAGGAGAGAGACAAAAGUAUCCAAUUCACAUCACUCGUUUCUCCCCAGAAGGCCAUUCCUGUCCUCACCUUGAAGCUCCCACCUUUCAAGAUCUCCAUUCAGGUGACAGAAGGAAGCCUCAGACAAGGAUCAUCUGUCCACUGGACUCAUGCUGGAUUGCAUGCCUGUAUCUCCCCCUCCAGGACAACUUGGUUUAUGAUUUCAGUCUCCCUGAACACGAGCAAUCUCCCCUCCAUCCUCAUACUCUGAAAUCUAUAAAAACAGUAAAGCGCCAGCCUGAGCUGAUAACAAGUGAGUGCACUCCCUGGAAUGAUGGAUGGGCCUUAGCUAUGGGCUUGUCAGGAGAGGGUGCCGGGCCAUAUGGAAGUGGCAUAUGGAAGCUCAUAGUGGAAGAUGGGGCAAAAGGAGGGGAGUGACAGAGAUAUACAUUAAAGACACAGCUUUGCUCUUAAAAAUGCAAGGUUCAUCAGUUUGGUGGGUAAAAUCAGUCAGUUCUGCUUCCUUCCGUGGGACUGGAGGGAAGCAAACAGAGGCAGAUGCAGGCUUCUCUCUUGCUGUUACCGUGUAACAUUUAUAUUUAGACUCCUUUUAAAUCAUCAGCUUUGCACUUUUUUGUUGUUUAGACCAGAAAGUUCUACAAAGACAGAAACAGAAUAAAGAAAGGCUUAGAAUUAUAUUGUAUCAGCCACAUUUAAUUUCCAGUUUAAUACAGAUGAAUGCCUGCACACAAGUUUGCCCCAGCUUUCCUGCGAACAAGCAUUAAUUAUGUCUUCACAUCAAGUGAUGAGAAGUCUAUUUUUACCUUUCUAUCUUUGUCAGUGUGCACUAGUUUUGUGCGUGCUGGAGUGGAUGUGUACAAUCAUCCGUGAACAUGUGUGCCUGUCUCUGUCUGUCUGUCUUUCUCCGUGCCCUGUGGAGUGUCUCUGGGCCCCGAGGAUCUCUGUUUGAUUGUUUAAAACCCUUCUUAAUUGGCGCUUUGUCUGCACUCGCCUAAAUGAGGCGGGACACCCACGGCGGGGGUUCCCGUGGAGACUGUGGGCCGUUUGACAGCCCCCACAGUGGGGCCUGUCCCACAACCCCUCAAACUGCCAGCCGGAUGACAGGGGCCCGUGCUGCACCACCCUGGCCAAUUAAAACUCAGCUGUCAGGACCAGACUACACCAACACUGUGUGACCGAUUGCGGCUGAGAGAUACAGCAGAGAUUGAGGAAAUGUGUGUUUUGUGUUGAUUGUGUUUAUGGGUUCUGGACAUAAAAACUGAUGAAUAAACUAUUGUCAUCUCAGGCUCUUUUUGUGUUUCUUUGUGUAGUCUAAGUAGUUUGGUGUCAACAGGGGUUUUGGUUAAAAGUCAUCAAAGUAGCACUAUUGCAUUUGACCAUAAAUGAUAGGAUUUUAUGUGUGCUAGACUUCAUUAUGAACCUUUCUGACAUGCUAUAUGGUGAAAUUUGCACACAGAUUUGUAAUCCAGACAGUCAUUUGGGAAAAGCCCUUUUGCUUUUUUUUGGGAGGGUGGGGGGUGGUGGCUUAAGGCUAAAGUCUACAAGUGUAAUAGAGUGAUGAGAAGAAGCUAACACAUUUUUUUCUUUCACAGGUAUCUUUCUGAUCCUUCUCCUUGUCUAUUAUCCUUUUUAGCCUAAACUGGAGUUGUAAACAUUGGAAUGUCAUUAAAAUCUUUUUGGCAGUCACUUACAAAGACCCUAAAGCAGACAUGUCCAAGGUCCAUUGCGUGGAAAUUUCCACCUGCCCGCAGACUCCUUUCAUAAAAUCCAUAAUGUGGGGCCCACAUCAUUAUUUAAAGAUUGUGUACAAUUUCUUGAUUGUGGUGGCAUAAUUACAUUUUCCUAUUCACCAUGAAGAGGCACUACCAGACGAGACACGCUAUAUAUGACAAGCUAACUUGGAAUGCACGGAGGAAAAAAAUGACAAAUUGACAGUGAGUUUGGUAAAAAUGCAUUUCAAUGUAUUUGUUCUAUAAGAAGAAAUGAAAGUAUUUAAAUGCAACAAAAUGCUAAAAAUUAGUUCUUUUACAUUGAAUGUUGUUAAAAUAGUUGAAAGAAUGUCAGGCUGAAUGGUUGGCGCUCACGCAUUUUCACCUCACUAAAUUUGGCUCUCAUUGCAAAAAAGCUUAGAUACCCCUGCACCAAAGAGUCAAAGAAGUAAAAGAAAAAUGAACACUGGAUUCUUAUGUGCACGAGAAAGUUAUCUGGUGCUCACAAAAAACUGACUGGUGCACACGGGAAAGUGUCUGGUGCGCACAAGAAGCUAAGUAGUCAUUUGUGCACAGGAGACCUGUCAGUCACGUAAGAAUGAGCUUAUUGAGUGUUAUUUUACCUUCUGACUCGCCUACAAAGACAUUGCAGCCUCAUUUGUCUGAAGUCACUGUUAUGUUAUCUCUGAAUGUCACCUAAAACAAGUAUUAAAGUUGAGUUGUUGUUUUUUUUUUGAGUGCAGGGAAUACACCUGCUUUGAUCAAAUGAUGCGCUGCACACAAGUUUCUUUGUCAUGCACACCAGAUACUUCCACGUGCACAAGAAAAACCAGAACUAAUUUUUUU